UCAUUCUAUAUUAAAUGUAGAGUUUUGGAGUAGAGAGUCUGCAGCACAAGUUUGUUGGAAAGUCCCUUGAUUUUUUUUUUCUAAGACUCUGUUUCCGAAGAUUCAUUGAGAUGCUACACAUGGCAGAGUUGCCUCUAAGAUGACCCGUCAGAGGGCAAUUUGGGGAAACUGAGGAAGCAGCUUUAGGAUGUCAAAGCAGCGGUGGCAUAUGGCCUCCCCUAACAAACGCUAGUUGAAACGAAAGCAGCCAGAUAACUGGAACCACUGUGCCUAUCAGUCAGGUUCAGAAGCACUUACUAUUUUGAUAUUCACAUCAUAUUCAAAGUUGUCCAAUCUGAAAUAUUCUAGCAUGUGCAUAAUACUCAGCUUAGACUUCACUAUGUAGUUUUUAUGGAUAUGUAAGCUUUUGUGGCAGAGACUUUCAAUGAACUGAUUUUGCACAUGGCAUUGCCUUCAGUCCAACCCAGUAACUCCUAUCUGAGCCCCAACUCUUUCCAUUUUGGGAUACUUCUGCUUCCUACAGACAUCAUCGCCAGCUCGGGGGCAGCCCAUAUGAGGAUCAAGUAAAAAAGCAGUCAGUUUGCACACAGCACAGUAAUUGUUCUCACUCCUACCUUCAUUUGAAUUUUCUCACUUCUUAAUCAGAAUUAUUAGGUAUUUAUACACAAUUCUUAAAUGCACAAAGAAAUACUGGCUUUGUUGCUUGACAUUUUAGCUUUAUUAUUUUCUAAAGAGGUUUUGCUUUGUCUUCAAGACAUAUACAUUCCUGAUUUCUCUCUUGAUACAUUUUUUCCUCUUCUUUUUGACACAAAUGGAUGGUUUUCUUUUUUUAAGUCAUUAGGGUUUAAUAAAAAUAGUUAAAAUUAUUGUGUUUCAGGGGCCAGAGAGAUGGUUCAGUGGUUAAGAUUACCGUCUGCUCUGGCAAAGAACCCAGACUCCAUUCUCAACACCCAAAUGGUAGUUACAGUCACCUGUAACUCCCAUUUCAGUGGAUCUAAUGCCUUCUUCUGGACUCUGAGGGCAUUGUGCACAAAUAGCACAAAUAUAUACAUGCAGAUAAACACACUCAUACAUAAAAUAAAAAUAGACAAACCAAAAAUUAACUUAAAAACUAUUUAAUUCACCCAGAAUAUGACAAUAGUUGAAUUUUGCAGAAUUCUGAAGUGGGCUUUUUAUCAUCUUAUCUUUGAUUGGUUGGUUGGUUUUGACACGGAAUCUUAGCUGGUUAGCCCAAACGAGCCUUGAACUCAAAAUCAUUCUUCCUAGUCCUCCUGGGGGCUGGGAUCACAGGCAUGCACCAUCAAGCCUAACUGUGUCAAUGAUUUCUCUAUAAACCUUAUGUUCUGUUUUCAUUCCUGUUCUGAAUCUAAAUAUGUAGACAUUUUAUUCUAAAAC
rnacentral:lncRNA from 1 species